GACAGAGGGUGCAAACGUUGUUCGGAAUUACUGGGCGUAAAGCGUGUGUAGGCGGCCAUGUAAGUCAGGUGUGAAAGCCCCAGGCUCAACCUGGGAAGUGCACUUGAUACUGCGUGGCUAGAGUAUCGGAGAGGUUGGUGGAAUUCUCGGUGUAGAGGUGAAAUUCGUAGAUAUCGAGAGGAAUACCGGUGGCGAAGGCGGCCAACUGGACGAAUACUGACGCUGAGACACGAAAGCGUGGGGAGCAAACAGG
rnacentral:rRNA from 1 species